rnacentral:rRNA from 1 species
CUACGGGUUGCUGCAGUGGGGAAUAUUGGGCAAUGGGCGCAAGCCUGACCCAGCCAUGCCGCGUGUGUGAAGAAGGCCUUAGGGUUGUAAAGCACUUUCAGCAGUGAAGAAACGCUGGAGAUUAAUACUCUCCAGUUUUGACGUUAACUGCAGAAGAAGUACCGGCUAACUCCGUGCCAGCAGCCGCGGUAAUACGGAGGGUACAAACGUUAAUCGGAAUUACUGGGCGUAAAGCGCGCGUAGGCGGUUCGUUAAGUGGGAUGUGAAAGCCCUGGGCUCAACCCAGGAACUGCAUUCCAAACUGACGAACUAGAGUAUGGUAGAGGGAGGUAGAAUUUCCUGUGUAGCGGUGAAAUGCGUAGAUAUAGGAAGGAAUACCGGUGGCGAAGGCGGCCUCCUGGACCAAUACUGACGCUGAGGUGCGAAAGCGUGGGGAGCAAACAGGAUUAGAUACCCCCGUAGUC